rnacentral:rRNA from 1 species
UGGUCUUAGCUUGCUAAGGCUGAUGGCGACCGGCGCACGGGUGAGUAACACGUAUCCAACCUGCCGUCUACUCUUGGCCAGCCUUCUGAAAGGAAGAUUAAUCCAGGAUGGGAUCAUGAGUUCACAUGUCCGCAUGAUUAAAGGUAUUUUCCGGUAGACGAUGGGGAUGCGUUCCAUUAGAUAGUAGGCGGGGUAACGGCCCACCAAGGCGACGAUCAGUAGGGGUUCUGAGAGGAAGGUCCCCCACAUUGGAACUGAGACACGGUCCAAACUCC